rnacentral:rRNA from 1 species
CCAUGGCGCCUGUUUAUCAAAAACAUGGUUUUUUGAAUAUAAUAAAAAAUCUUACCUGCUCCCUGCUUAAGUUAAUAGCCGCAGUAUUAUGACUGUGCUAAGGUAGCAUAAUCAUUUGUCUUUUAAAUAAGGUCUAGAAUGAAAGGUUUGAUCGAAGAAAAAGCUGUCUCUUUAUUAUUAAGUGAAUUAAAUUAGUUAGUAAAAAGGCUAAUAUUAACCUGAAAGACGAUAAGACCCUAUUAAGCUUAAUUUUAAAAAUUUUACUGGGGAGGUAGGGUAAGACUUAAAUCUUAUCCAAUAAUGAUGAAAUUUUAGUGACCCAAUUUUAUUGAGGAUCAGAUAAAGCUACUAUAGGGAUAACAGCUUAAUUUUCCAUAAAAGAUCUUAUUUAAUGGAGAGUUUGAGACCUCGAUGUUGAAUUAAAGUGCCUAAUAAGUGUAGUAGCCUAUAUAGGAAGUCUGUUCGACUUUUAAAUCUUUACGUGAUCUGAGUUCAGACCGGCCAUGG